AGAUAUAUAUUUUUUAUCCAACAAUAGAGUUCCAUUAAAUGGAAAACAAAAACAGUGGGAGGACAUAACUUUACAAGGAAAACCUAUUACUAAUCAGGUUGUUUGUCCAAUCAAUAAAAGAAAACCCAUCAGCAUAGGCUGGUUGAGAGAGGAUGACUUUCUUGGCGAAUUCAUGUACCACCCAAUUACAUUCUCGAAAUGCAUAACAAAAGAACAAAAUCAGAAGACUUCCCUUAAGAGCUGGAUGUCCUAGCAGACUGCUUGGGAAUUCAUAGAAACGGCUUGGUUUCCGUUGAUAGCUUGGAUAAGUCUCGACAGUCGCUUUCAAUGAUAACUCGCAUGCAUCCUUUGCUAAUACGAAAAUCGACAGCCUCCCUAAUUGCUAGUGCUUCCAAGGUUGUGGGGCUUGAGGUUCCUUGGAUCUUUCUUCCAAGGGCGUACAGGACAUUGCCGGACCACCAGACCAAUAGCUCUAACGUUUUGGGAUAUUUCACAGCUAUAUCACAGUUUAUCUUCAUAAUUGACGGAUGAGGGAGACUAUUCCACAUUGUUUUCUCUAAGGGCUCUAGGAGGAUCUGUUCCAUGGUCCUUUCGGAAUUCUUCGAA
rnacentral:lncRNA from 1 species